rnacentral:rRNA from 1 species
UGUAAGCGUAUACCGAAGUUGUUGCAGUUAAAACGCUCGUAGUCGGAAUUUGGCAGUUCCGGAUGUGUGCACGUCGUGUGCGCACUUCGCGGGGAUUGCUUUUGUGGUCUUGCGUAGGAUGAGGCACUUUUAUUAGUGAACGUCCUCACGCAACCACUUUUUACUGUGAGAAAAUCAGAGUGCUCAAAGCAGGCAUUUGCCGUGAAUGUAUUAGCAUGGAAUAAUAGAAUAGGACUUGGUUCUAUUUUGUUGGUUUGUUGGGACUGAGUAAUGAUUAAGAGGGACAGUUGGGGGCAUUUGUAUUUCGGCGCUAGAGGUGAAAUUCUUAGAUUGCCGAAAGACAAACUGCUGCGAAAGCGUCUGCCAAGGAUGUUUUCAUUGA